UUCUUAUAUUUCUCAUUCCUUUUCCCCUAGAUUGUUCCUGCUGAGAGUUGGAGGUGAAGAAGUGCACACCUGUCCUUUUUCCUUUUCUUGCUGAGGACAGGUACAGCAUGGUCAUUCAGGACUAGUAGCCAAAAUGUAUUUCCAGAUCUCCUUUCGGCAGCUGGAUGAGAAGAGAAUGCCACCACAAAAGAGGCAUCACUGAGACAAGGUUAAAGUUGUCUUCAAAAGCAAUACCAGUGCUGUACGUUGUACAUAUCACCACUAUUGAGGAUCAGUACGUCUUCCCUGGAGUCACUGUCAGAGUUCUAACUGCUUUUGGGGAAAUCAAGAACUGCAUAGAUUCCUUUUUUUAUUUCCACUCAUUUUCAGGGAUGCGUUUCUUGAAGAGUUGGGCCUAG
rnacentral:lncRNA from 1 species